GGAUUAGAUACCCUGGUAGUCCACGCCGUAAACGAUGUGUACUAGUUGUCAGGCCCUCAGGGCUUGGUGACGGAGCGAAAGCAUUAAGUACACCGCCUGGGGAGUACGGCCGCAAGGUUAAAACUCAAAGGAAUUGACGGGGACCCGCACAAGCGGUGGAGCAUGUUGUUUAAUUCGAAGCAACGCGAAGAACCUUACCCACUCUUGACAUCCUCCUUGGGAUUGGCAGAGAUGCCUUUCUUCGGUUCGGCCGGGGGAGUGACAGGUGCUGCAUGGCUGUCGUCAGCUCGUGUCG
rnacentral:rRNA from 1 species